CCAAGGAGUCUAGCAUGUGCGCGAGUCAUUGGGACUCUAACGAAACCUAAAGGCGCAAUGAAAGUGAAGGUUCGCCAUGCGCGAACCGAGGGAGGAUGGACGGUCGAUCGUGGCCGUCCCGCACUCCCUGGGCGUCUCGUUCUCAUCGCGAGAAGAGGCGCACCAAGAGCGUACACGCUGGGACCCGAAAGAUGGUGAACUAUGCCUGGUCAGGACGAAGUCAGGGGAAACCCUGAUGGAGGUCCGUAGCGAUUCUGACGUGCAAAUCGAUCGUCGGAACUGGGUAUAGGGGCGAAAGACUAAUCGAACCAUCUAGUAGCUGGUUCCCUCCGAAGUUUCCCUCAGGAUAGCUGGCGCUCGCUUCUCGCGAGUCUCAUUCGGUAAAGCGAAUGAUUAGAGGCAUUGGGGUCGAAACGGCCUCAACCUAUUCUCAAACUUUAAAUGGGUGAGAUCUCCGGCUUGCUUGAACUGUGAAGCCGCGAGAUAUCGGAUCAGAGUGCCAAGUGGGCCACUUUUGGUAAGCAGAACUGGCGCUGUGGGAUGAACCAAACGCCGAGUUAAAGCGCCUAAAUCGACGCUUAUGGGAUACCAUGAAAGGCGUUGGUAACUUAAGACAGCAGGACGGUGGCCAUGGAAGUCGGAAUCCGCCAAGGAGUGUGUAACAACUCACCUGCCGAAGUUACUAGCCCUGAAAAUGGAUGGCGCUGAAGCGUCGUGCUUAUACUCUGCCGUCAGCGGCAUGUGAGACGGUCCUUAAGAGGUCGUCAUGAAGCCCUGACGAGUAGGAGGGUCGCGGCGGUGAGCGCAGAAGGACCAGGCGCGAGCCAGUCUGGAGCCGCCGUCGGUGCAGAUCUUGGUGGUAGUAGCAAAUACUCCAGCGAGGCCCUGGAGGACUGACGUGGAGAAGGGUUUCGUGUGAACAGCCGUUGCACACGAGUCAGUCGAUCCUAAGCCAUAGGCGAAAGCCGAUGUCGAUGCGGUGUAUCUUUCAGUGUCUAUAUGCCAUGUGCUACUGCUGCUCUGCUGCUGCUCUUGCUGCUGCUUGGCUAGCUAGCCGGCUGUUAAGGCGGAGGGACUCACACCCGUCGGGCGAAAGGGAAUCCGGUUCCUAUUCCGGAACCCGGCAGCGGAACCGUUAUUAAGUCGUGCCCUCAUUCAGAGAGUUCGUCGGGGCAACCCAAAAGGACCUGGAAACGCCGUCGGGAGAUCCGGGAAGAGUUUUCUUUUCUGCAUAAGCGCUCGAGUUCCAUGGAAUCCUCUAGCAGGGAGAUAUGGUUUGGAGCGCGAAGAGCACCGCAGUUGCGGCGGUGUCCGGAUCUUCCCCUCGGACCUUGAAAAUCCAGGAGAGGGCCACGUGGAGGCGUCGCGCCGGUUCGUACCCAUAUCCGCAGCAGGUCUCCAAGGUGAAGAGCCUCUAGUC
rnacentral:rRNA from 1 species